rnacentral:misc_RNA from 1 species
AAGUCGUAACAAGGUUUCCGUAGGUGAACCUGCGGAAGGAUCAUUAACACGUAUCCAACGUUAAACAACCCCGUGAACCUUCAGCCUGCUCUCGUAGCCCACGGUGAGAAGUUACAGUUACGAUCGAGCGGUAGAGUCAGUGGCAUGGCGUCCCCAAGCAGAAUCCAGAGAAUGAAAGGAUCACUGGCUGCGCAAGGAUAACGCCUCACGGUUGCUAGAGGUCGAUCACCGACCGGCAGACAUGUCACAGGGUCCCCAUGCCCCUUACCUCACCCCAUUACUAAUGACUAGCUUAGCGGUAACGCGCUGAGUAAAAAAAAACCGAACAACUGUUAACAAUGGAUAUCUUGGUUCUC